GGCUCCCGAGGACCGCGUUAUAUCAGGGUAGAGGUGUGUAUACACACACACACACACACACACGUCCAACAUGGGCACUGGUAACACAAAUUUUCUCCCACACUGCUCUGGAGAGAGUUCUCUCCACGCUGCACAUGCAGUUCUUGACCUCUUCUGUUGGGACUGCCAACAAAUCUGUCGAAAUUCAUUAAUUCUAUUUAAAAAGGUCAUUGCUCAUAACAGAGAACAAAUCACUGGUUCUGCGUAGCAGCACUGGGAAUUUCAGCCAUGCAUUUACAUUCAGUUGUAUGUAGCCCUUAAAAGUCGAUGCUCAUUUAUAACAAGCUUUCAGUACAUUUCUCUGCAUCACUGCAUCUAUUUUUAGGUUCUGUGGUUAAUGCUGUGCAAUUGCUAUAUGCAAUUUCCAGUCACCCUCCCUUGUUCCCCGAAGCUGACCAGAUCGGUGUUUGAUCUUCAGGCUCUGGGUACGGUGGCAGUGAAUGACAGAGAGCACUUUGCAUUGCUUAACACUGCCCCAUCUGGCAAACUGUGGUCCAGACAGACUCUGAAGGGAGAGGGUGAAUACUAUGCAGGUCUUCGGCAGGAACAAUCUCCCUAGCAUUUGGAGUUUAAAGCAUUGAUUAUUGAAAUCAGCUCCUUACUGAGAGGCUUUUAUCAGAGAAUUCCUUGACCAAAUAACUCCAUCUUGCACUAUUAACUCUUCCUCUGGUCCUAACAUGGUAUGGUAAUAUUAAGGUGGGAUGGUAGCUCCAGGACUUCCAUUUCAAUAGAGGUUCAAAAGGUCUACAGAAUUCUGUCUUUUGGUUGCUUGAUUUUCCCAUAGCAGUUCAUGGAGGGGAAAUGUCAGGUGAGGUUCGCUUGACUGUUUCAAAAAUAGCCAUGUGACUAACAUUUUUCUAGUGUCCAACAUUUCCUUCAGACCCUUUCCCACCUGCCGCCCCCCCAAAAAACCCCAACUACAUCAUUUUGAGGGGUGAAACUCAACAGGUAUGAAUGCUUGGUUUUUGUAGAUUGGAUGAAUUGCUGUAGAAAAAGAUUUUUUUUGUGUUUAUUUUUAUAAUAAGCAUAUGUUACUGUUGAUUGCCUAAUGUGGUCCUAGGAUACUGUCAUCAAAAUUGAUCUUACCAGUCCCUAGUAUACAGAUCCCUGAGUGUUUCCCCAAUAAUCAGGAACCUCUUUGAUCAUGCUGACAUGAGAGUUGCAGCUAUUCGCCUUAACAACAAACAACAACAACAACAUCACUCACUCCUAGUGUUCUGGAAACAGUGGCAUCAACUUAUUUUCUUCCAAUUUUUUGGCUCGUUUGACAACAGUUCAAGGGGAGGAAGUGACUCAAGGUAUAGAGGUAACAGUGACUGGCUCAGCCUGUGAUCUAAGCACUAUCAUUCCUUCAUUUAAAAUAAUAAAAGCAUAUUCCUUGACAGUAAAGGUUACAUUUUUUAUAAGUGUAUGAUUAGAAGCGGGCAUGAAAGCUGCCUAAUAUGUGCAUGCAAAUCGAGUUCAUAUUUGCACAAAGACGUGUAUGAGCAAACAAAACCUGCAUGCACAACUGAUGUGUACACAUCUUCAAAUAACUGAGCCUAAAUGAACAGCACUAGCCACUUAGUACCAGUCGGAAACAUUCCCUCUAUCUUACGGAUUCACUGUAUGUUAAAUGAAACCCUAACAAUGCCUGUAACUUUUUCCUUUAUUCUGUUACACUGUUGUCAUGCUCCUAUAAAGAAGAUUGAUUUUUUUUUUCCAUUCUUUAAAAAAAAUGCAGCAAUAUUGGUAGUUCCUGUGGGCCCACAUCUGCAGGAACUGCAGAAAACAACAACAAUAUGGAGGAAUGCUGUUAGACUCCCAACUUCAACUGUUCAAAACAAUGAUCAAGAUUUUCUUGUCCAAACAAUCUCUCUCACAUGGGAGGAAGAUUACUGAAGAUUCUACUCACAUUCACCAUUCCUGCUCCUUGAAAUGGCACAAGUUGUGAAAUAUCAAAAUGCUGAUAAGACAAACUA